rnacentral:rRNA from 1 species
UUACAAGUAUUAGAGGCACGGCCUGCCCAGUGACUAAAGUUAAACGGCCGCGGUAUCCUGACCGUGCAAAGGUAGCAUAAUCAUUUGUUCCUUAAUUAGGGACUAGCAUGAAUGGCUUAACGAGGGUUUAACUGUCUCUUAUUCCCAAUCAGUGAAAUUGACCUACCCGUGAAGAGGCGGGUAUAAAAUAAUAAGACGAGAAGACCCUGUGGAGCUUUAAUUUUAUAGUUCAUUUACACAAAUACUACACCUAAUGGUCCAAAAAAAAAUAAUCUUGAACUAGAAAUUUCGGUUGGGGUGACCUCGGAGAAAAAAAAAUCCUCCGAAUAACAAAACCAAGACUUACAAGUCUAAGUGUCCUAUACGUUUUUCAUUGACCCAAAUAAUAUUUGAUCAACGGAACAAGUUACCCCAGGGAUAACAGCGCAAUCCUAUUCUAGAGUCCCUAUCGACAAUAGGGUUUACGACCUCGAUGUUGGAUCAGGACAUCCCAAUGGUGCAGCCGCUAUUAAUGGUUCGUUUGUUCAACGAUUAAAGUCCUAC